rnacentral:lncRNA from 1 species
UAUUAAAGCACACUUACGCAUAUUUGUUGGUAUUUUUUUCGCAAAGAAGUUAAGCAUGCUUUGGGUCCAGUUCAAGUCAAGGUUUGAGACAAUGCAAAUGAGCCGAACUCUUCCCUGACUGCAGUGGUUUGGAAGGUGCCUCAGUCCCCUACCUUUAGCCCCAUCUGUCCUAUAUUGUCCACUAAAUGUUUUUCCUUGCAGCUUCACCUCCUCAACGAACGUCGACUACGGAGAGUUCCUGGUGAGCGUCAACGGUUUGUUUGGGAACGACCAAGACCGGACAUACUGGGAGCUGCUGGUUCAGAAAGACACCAACACCAUUAUCAGACCUGAUGUUGGUAGGUUUGUGUGUGUGUGUGUGUGUGUGUGUGUGUGUGUGUGUGUGUGUGUGUGUGUGUGUGUGUAGGUCCCGUCUUUGGAUCGCUCUCACUGGGAGAGUAUGGACCUUAUGCCCCUGGCGGCCAUCUUGGUUCUAACCUCAGCAGUAUUUAUGCUCCUGUUUGGAACCAAGAUGGCAGCUUUGUAAAUAAGGCCCAGGCUUUGGAACCCGGACGAUCACAUCUCAACCUGGCCUUGCUUGUUUUUUUGUUCCAUAAUAAUUUUGCGAUUAAAGACUUCUAGUGUAUAAACCUCAACCUGCCUCUGGUC